AUGUCAGAAGGACACAUUUUGAUCAAUUGCUUGUAUCUUUCCUAAGCUUCAUAGAGGGAUUCACCAUCUUUCUGUCUGAAGGUUUGGAUGUCCACUCUGAGCUU